UGGGGAAUAUUGCACAAUGGGCGCAAGCCUGAUGCAGCCAUGCCGCGUGUAUGAAGAAGGCCUUCGGGUUGUAAAGUACUUUCAGUCGGGAGGAAGGUGUCAAGGUUAAUAACCUUGGCAAUUGACGUUACCGACAGAAGAAGCACCGGCUAACUCCGUGCCAGCAGCCGCGGUAAUACGGAGGGUGCAAGCGUUAAUCGGAAUUACUGGGCGUAAAGCGCACGCAGGCGGUUGAUUGAGUCAGAUGUGAAAUCCCCGGGCUUAACCCGGGAAUUGCAUCUGAUACUGGUCAGCUAGAGUCUUGUAGAGGGGGGUAGAAUUCCAUGUGUAGCGGUGAAAUGCGUAGAGAUGUGGAGGAAUACCGGUGGCGAAGGCGGCCCCCUGGACAAAGUCUGACGCUCAGGUGCGAAAGCGUGGGGAGCAAACAGG
rnacentral:rRNA from 1 species